UACGGGGGGGGCAAGCGUUGUUCGGAAUUACUGGGCGUAAAGGGCUCGUAGGCGGCCAACUAAGUCACACGUGAAAUCCCUCGGCUCAACCGGGGAACUGCGUGUGAUACUGGAUGGCUUGAGUUUGGGGGAGGAAUGCGGAAUUCCAGGUGUAGCGGUGAAAUGCGUAGAUAUCUGGAGGAACACCGGUGGCGAAGGCGGCAUUCUGGACCAAUACUGACGCUGAGGAGCGAAAGCCAGGGGAGCAAACGGG
rnacentral:rRNA from 1 species